rnacentral:rRNA from 1 species
UACAGAGGGGGCAAGCGUUGUUCGGAAUUACUGGGCGUAAAGGGCGCGUAGGCGGCCGCCUAAGUCAGACGUGAAAUCCCUCGGCUCAACCGGGGAACUGCGUCUGAUACUGGGUGGCUUGAAUCCGGGAGAGGGAUGCGGAAUUCCAGGUGUAGCGGUGAAAUGCGCAGAUAUCGGGAGGAACACCAAUGGCGAAGGCAGCUUGCUGGGACGGUACUGACGCUGAGACGCGAAAGCGUGGGGAGCAAACAGG